rnacentral:rRNA from 1 species
CACGUAGGUGGCGAGCGUUGUCCGGAAUCAUUGGGCGUAAAGAGCGCGCAGGCGGCUUGGCAAGUCGGGUGUGAAAUCCCGGGGCUCAACCCCGUGACUGCAUUCGAUACUGUCAGGCUAGAGGUAGGUAGGGGAGAUCGGAAUUCCUGGUGUAGCGGUGAAAUGCGCAGAUAUCAGGAGGAACACCGGUGGCGAAGGCGGAUCUCUGGGCCUUACCUGACGCUCAGGCGCGAAAGCUAGGGGAGCGAACAGG